rnacentral:rRNA from 1 species
CCGGUGGCGGAUGGGCAUGCGGCGCAUUAGCUAGUCGGCGGGGUAACGGCCCACCGAGGCGACGAUGCGUAGGGGUUCUGAGAGGAAGGUCCCCCACACUGGUACUGAGACACGGACCAGACUCCUACGGGAGGCAGCAGUGAGGAAUAUUGGUCAAUGGGCGCGAGCCUGAACCAGCCAAGUCGCGUGAGGGAUGACGGUCCUACGGAUUGUAAACCUCUUUUGCCGGGGAGCAAGCGUGCGUUCGUGAACGCGCGUCGAGAGUACCCGGAGAAAAAGCAUCGGCUAACUCCGUGCCAGCAGCCGCGGUAAUACGGAGGAUGCGAGCGUUAUCCGGAUUUAUUGGGUUUAAAGGGUGCGUAGGCGGGAUGCCAAGUCAGCGGUAAAAAUGCGGUGCUCAACGCCGUCGAGCCGUUGAAACUGGCGUUCUUGAGUGGGCGAGAAGUAUGCGGAAUGCGUGGUGUAGCGGUGAAAUGCAUAGAUAUCACGCAGAACUCCGAUUGCGAAGGCAGCAUACCGGCGCCCUACUGACGCUGAGGCACGAAAGCGUGGGUAUCGAACAGGAUUAGAUACCCUGGUAGUCCACGCAGUAAACGAUGAAUGCUAACUGUCCGGCUCGAAUGAGCGCUGG